rnacentral:lncRNA from 1 species
ACGCUAGGGGAAAGCGUCGGUAAAGGUUGGCUCACAGCCAACCUUUCCCGACGCUUUGGGUUAGCGUUGGAAAAGCGAAAGAAACAACGACGCUAUAAAGCGUCGUUAUAAGUUUAAGAAACAACGACGCUUAUAAGCGUCGUUAUAAACUUUAAAACCCCAGCACCUCGCUCGAUCGGCCCCCCUCUCCUGAUUUCCUAUCUGCAACGACGCUCUGAAGCGUCGUUAUAAGUUCAAGAAACAACGACGCUUAUAAGCGUCGUUAGAAAACUUAAAACCCCACACCUCGCUCGAUCAGCCCCCUCUCCUCAUUUCCCAUCUGCGAGCCCUAGCCCCUCUCCUCAUUUCCUAUCUGCGAGCGCGCCGACACCCCCGCUGCCGUCGACCUCUCCUUCUGAGGUAAUCCCUAGCUCGAUCGGCCCCCUCUCCUUCUGAGCCCUAAUCUCACCUCCAUCCCUAGCCCUGAUCGGCGAUCGAAGACUCCGCUACUCCGCCGCCGUCGAACUUGCCGUCGUCUUUGGUAAGCCUCCUACUCCUCCUUCUCUUCCUUCUCCUCCUCCUCCUCCUCCUCCUCCUCCUCUUUGUUUUCUUCUUGUUUUUAACUCUCGCCCGGCCCCGUCUCCUCAUCCUCUGCCGGUCGAUGCCCUAGCGCCGACAUCUCACCUCCAUCCCGAGCGAGCCGUAGCUACUCCGCCGCCGUCGACAUCGCCGUCGUCUGAGGUAAGUGAUCCUCAUACUCUCCGUCGAUAUAAAUUGGUCAGUUAGAUCUCCUUCAAUAUUUUCGAAUUUCUUAAUAUCCCCCCUCUCGCUUGGGGCUUCUCUCUAUGUGGUUAUGCUUUUUCUGGGUGUUUGCUUGGGGUAUAGCCGGGUUCACAUUAGAUAUGUACGGUUAAAUCUCUGGUUUGCUUAUGAGGACUAGAAUUUCAGAGCACGGUGACGAAGAUAGCUUAUCAUUCACUGCUGCCAGAUGAUUCUUUUCUGCGUUCUUUGCAGAAUCGACAAGAAAUAAUUGACUCCGGCGUGUCUGGAUGUUUUGAUAUUGUUUGACGUUGUUUUGACUGUUUAAAAUUUUAUAAGAUUUUCUUCGAUGGGGACAACUUUUUUAGGAGUUUGUAUUUUGGUCUGAUCAAUUGUUGACUACAAUUAGUCCAGGAUCUGAUCAGGUAAAAACUAUACUUCCCUUGUUUGAGUACGAAUCUUUCAUUUUGAAGAUUCUGUGGAAAAGGUUGACUUGUUAUUCAUUGAUAAAUUGCUCUUUCCAGUUAACAAGAUAUGAAAAAUUAACAUGCAUUAGAAUCCUGUCAUCACAUAAUCAAACCGGCUAGCAUCUCUUUCAGGGGAACGUCUAUUCCUUAUGUGGCACUAUCUCUAAAUUUUUGUUGAUUUAUAUUUUAUUCCUUCAAUCCAUUAGGGUGGAAUACAUGGUGGUGCCUGCUCACGUCCCCAUAUGGCUAGUUCUUUUUUUCCCCUUAAGUUAUUAUGGCAAAAAUGCUUCCAAAACAAUCAUAUCCAUUCG